rnacentral:lncRNA from 1 species
GGAGACAGUUGCUGCUGGCCAGAGAACACUGCAGCCCAACAGCCUAUUGGAAGAAGAACAUGUCAGGGAAGUAGCCACAGAUGGCCUACUGCAAGGAAACCCCAGGAGACUGUCACUGACUCCAGACCCUGAGAAGAAAGAGCCACCAGCCUUAGACCCUGAAAGCCAAGAAGAACCUCAGCCUCCUGUGCUCAAACAGGCCAAGGACAUUAGUAGCUCUGGUCCCUGUGAGGUAAUGGACACAGAGCGUGCUGCAGCGGACACAGGAGCAUCCCCCAGACACAGCCAGGACUCGCAGCACUGCAGUGUCUCUGGGGAUGAAGAGGACGAGCUGUUUAAAGGGGCAACUCUGAAGGUUCCGAGGCCCACAGCCCAGCCUGAGGAGGAGGAUGAAGAUGAGGUGAGCAUGAAGGGACGUCCGCCCCCAACCCCCCUUUUUGGAGAUGAUGAUGAUGACGAUGACAUUGGCUGGCUGGGGUGAAGACCUAGGAAGCAGGCAUGCAGGCUUCUCUCCCAGCCCUUCCCUAAGCAUGGUUUUGCACAGCCGGCCUCAGGUCUAGGUGAGCCUCAGGGUGAGGUCCUGGUGAACAUUCUGAGGACAGUGGUUCAGGUGUCUGAGCCCCCGCCUGACCUGGUGAAGAGGACCAUGAGGCUGUCUGCAGAACAGGUGUUGUAACAGCCUCAGUGAGUGGCCCUACCAUGGAGGAAGGGCUGGGAGGGUUGCCUGCAGCCAGUCACAAGCAAGCUGCCAUUUCUCCCAAGCUUUUUCUUACUCAUUCUCAAGGAGACUGGAAGCCCUCCUGCUCUCCCAGGGCUCAUCAGAGUUGCUGCGACACGAGGGUCCUCCUCAGAGAACUACGAGAUCCAUCGUGUUGGCCUAACCUGUGGCUCUGGGACAUGUAUCUUCUAUCUCUGCCUUAAAUCUUACAAAAGAGGUCAAUGGGUAUUUGGAACUAACAAGACUAAAAAUCUGUAAUAAAACUUGACUUGGGCCCUUGAGGAGAAACUG